rnacentral:rRNA from 1 species
AUUGAACGCUGGCGGCAUGCUUUACACAUGCAAGUCGGACGGCAGCACAGAGACGCUUGCUUCUUGGGUGGCGAGUGGCGCACGGGUGAGUAAUAUAUCUGAACGUACCGAGUUAUGGGGGAUAACUAAUCGAAAGAUUUGCUAAUACCGCAUAUUCUCUGUGGAGGAAAGCAGGGGACCUUUGGGCCUUGCGUUAUUCGAGCGGCCGCUAUCUGAUUAGCUAGUUGGUGGGGUAAAGGCCCACCAAGGCGACGAUCAGUAGCGGGUCUGAGAGGAUGAUCCGCCACACUGGAACUGAGACACGGCCCAGACUCCUACGGGAGGCAGCAGUGGGGAAUUUUGGACAAUGGGCGCAAGCCUGAUCCAGCCAUGCCGCGUGGCUGAAGAAGGCCUUCGGGUUGUAAAGGACUUUUGUCAGGGAAGAAAAGGCUGUUGCUAAUAUCGACAGCUGAUGACGGUACCUAAAGAAUAAGCACCGGCUAACUACGUG